GUCGAAGAAAGGAAAGAAAAAAACAUAUAAAAAAAAAACAUAAGGGGUUCAUAUAUUUGUUCAACCAACAGUUAAUCGUGUUGUCAGCAGGUGAUCCUUGACUACCAUGGCUGAUGUUUAAUUGCUGUGACAAUUUCAAGCCUUUCCAUUUCUGAUGGGGAACAUUGGGUCAAGUCGGGAUUGAUACCAACAGAGGCUUUUGUAGGAGCUGUAAUAUUCUCUAGGAGGUGUAAUAUUCUCUUAUUUUUAUUCAUAAAACACUUAUACAAUUUCCUCUUGCUAAUUCAGAUUUUGUUUUUAGUUUUUGUACUUGAUUCUCGUGUCAAUAUGAUGUGUAAGGAUCCAAUUUCAUUAUUAAAUUCUCCAUAUUAUUUGAUAUGUGGAGAAGCAAUAAAUAAGAAGGAUGAUAAUUUAAAUGGAUGGUA